GCCAGUGUGGUGUAGUGAUCUGAGUGUUAGAUUAGGACUCUGAAGACCAGAGUUCAAAUCCUGGCUCAGCCA